UUAUUAAUGCUACACACUCUGCAUGUUAUGUUAUGUUAUGUUACUAAGUCCUUAUAUAGCGCUCUAGAGGAACUCAAUCCGAUCGAAGCGCUUGUGGACGGCUGUAUUGGUGGGCCCCUACGUCAUCCUACACAAAUAGCCAGGUCUUAAC